AGCAGCCGCGGUAAUUCCAGCUCCAAUAGCGUAUAUUAAAGUUGUUGCAGUUAAAAGCUCGUAGUUGAAUUUCGGGAUUGGCGCAUCGGUCGUGCCUCACGGGGUAUGAACUGGUGCAGUCAAUUUCUCACCUUCUGGAGAACCGCGAUGUCCUUAAUUGGAUGCCGNGGGGAACCAGGACCUUUACUUUAGAAAAAUUAGAGUGUUUAAAGCAGGCAUUUUUGCUUGAAUACAUUAGCAUGGAAUAAUAAAAUAGGACGGCAUGGUUCUAUUUUGUUGGUUUCUAGGACCACCGUAAUGAUUAAUAGGGAUAGUUGGGGGCAUUAGUAUUCAAUUGUCAGAGGUGAAAUUCUUGGAUUUAUUGAAGACUAACUACUGCGAAAGCAUUUGCCAAGGAUGUUUUCAUUAAUCAAGAACGAAAGUUAGGGAUCGAAGACGAUCAGAUACCGUCGUAGUCUUAACC
rnacentral:misc_RNA from 1 species